UCUACAUCGGCCGAACUAUUCAGUUCGCGUAGCCGUGCUCUCGGUUUUAGGAGCCUUAUCCUCGAUUAAUGAAACCGAGCUUGCUCUAUACUUCGGUUAAAUGUGAAAGCUCGGUCGUAUAAACUGAAGAUACGGUUACAUGAGCCGAAAGCGGCCGCUAUGAAACAUCUUACCUCUGGUUCAUUUGAUCCAAAUUUUUCUUAGUGCCCCUCCGUACAGGCUUCGUGUUCUCGCCUAAAUGGAUCUAGGAGAAAAAGUUUCUCUUAUGUUAAAUUUUGACAUCGAAAAAUAACAACGCGAAUGACAACGGGUCAACCGACGACGGUUCGCCAUCUAACUCAGAUGCAGAUUCUAUCCCAACUUUUGAGGAGAUGAUGCAGCACUUCAGGGUGAAAUUGAGGAGACACCACAUUCUGGAUGACUGCAGUGCCCCUAAUCAUGGCCGAUCAGCAAAGCUGAACUGUAGAGAUGCUUUGGACGCCUUCGACAAUCUCACCGUGGAAGAGAGAGCAGUCUGCCCGGACGCUAAAAGUGCGGAUUGCAGGCAGUGCGGCUUCAUUCUGUGUCGAUGUACUUUCAUGUGUAGACCCACCGAGCAGGAAAAUCUGGCCCGACUGCGACGAUUUCUUUAUCCGAGUAGAGUUUUCAAGUGCAAACCACUCCGUGACAUAGUUCGAGCGUUGAACCUAGCCUGAAGGAACAAUCUUAGAGAACUAUAUUGGCCCCCUGGCCACGCACCCCAAUCCCCGGAGCACGCUUUGCUGUAUCUUUUUGUUAGAUUCAACACCUCUUGUUCAGUUCAAUUUUCUGCCAAUUUUGAAAUUCCCGCCAUUCCUCGAGUAUAUAUAGCAGUAAUAUCAAAAAUC